UGUAAUGUUACAUUUCUCCACAACCACGCCUCUCAUGAAAAUAAUCAUAAGCUAUGCAUACGCCGUGAAAAUGACAAAAAGCAGCAAUGAUCACACAAACAUGGAACCACUGAUGACUACUACCAAAAACAUCAUAUUUUCCUGGACUCCAUUUUUCUGGAAUCCUUAAGGCGUAUAUGACAGCUCCAACUAUAUAGAAAAGACCUUGUAGUAAAAGCCAGACAAGGCCCAUUCGCACCAAAAUUUCGGAAAAGCUAAAAAUUUUUAAUGCAUGUAUUACUGGAAAUAUUCCAAAAAGACCCAUGAGAACAAAUAUCAAAGCUCGAUAUGGUCUCCAUUCUGGUUGUCGAAAUCGAUCAAGAAGACAAGUGGACGCUACAAUAACGCCAAUGCCAAUAAUAGUACCUAUGUACAAUGUGCGAAAAUUUGCAUGGCAAGCAAAAGCGUAAUGUAAACAAGGAAUAAAAGAGCCGACAAUCAUGACGACGAUGCCCAAAUAAUCGAGUUUGUUUCCAAACUUUGAAACAUCAUCCGAAUGAUUCGAAAUGGUAUGGUAAAACGUUGAGCAUCCAAGCAUAGUGAAUGCACUAAAUAAAAAUACCGUUAUAACAUAAACAUCUUCAGCAGUUGUAGUAUCUCUCUUUAAAAUCAAUUCGGACUUGAAAAUAAAAAACAAAAAAACUAUCGCACCAAAAAGAUGAGUCCAUAUAUUAACGCUCUCAUUAUGAACAUGGAAAAUAGAUUUAACGCAUAAAUAAAAUGAAAAUGAAGGAGGUCGAUAUCCGGAUAUGAUAUAUUGAUUGUCCUGCUGCCAAGGUUCCAAUUGAUCCCAAGUAAGUAAUCCUUUUCGGUUUCUAAGUGGUAUAUCAGAGCUAGAGACGGCUAUCUUUCCUGUUUUUAUAGUAAUUCCCUUAUCCGCAUGAGUUGCAGCAUCCCACUUGUGAUCUUGCUGCUUUUCUAAUAACUGCUCUGAUUCUGACAUAGUAAUGUUCAACGGUCGAUAUAAGAGAAAAAUAUAAAUUGCGUGGAUAGACUAGAUGUUGAUGCAAUUAUUUACAUGAAAAUGGGGAAUGCUGAGCAGAAUAAGUGUAAACUGAACUCGGGUUCUUAUGGAAAAUUCGGUCUGUUGUAAAUUCCGUUCCAAGAACUUUAUACCAUUGAACGUAGAAUGACCUAUAGUUUAAUGAUUGAAGAAGAAAAAUGUAAAGACGGAAUAAUAAACGUAGUGUAAACAAUAGGUG